rnacentral:rRNA from 1 species
UUAAAAAGCUCGUAGUUGGAUUUCUGUAGUGGGAUGCCGGCCGGGUUCUCUGAACUUGUAGCUAGGUUAUCUUGCUGCAUCUUGUCGUAAUUCUCACUGGCAUUCAUUUGUUGGUGUAGAGGACCGACUCGUUUACUUUGAGAAAAUUAGAGUGUUUAAAGCAGGCUAUAGCUUUGAAUAUGUUAGCAUGGAAUAAUAAUAUAGGACUUUACGUUCUAUUUUGUUGGUUGUUCGAGGACGUAAGUAAUGAUUGAUAGGGACAGUUGGGGGCAUCAGUAUUCUGAAGCGAGAGGUGAAAUUCUUGGACCUUCGGAAGACUAACAACUGCGAAAGCAUUUGCCUAGGAUGUUCUCUUUAAUCAAGAACGAAGGUUGGGGGAUCGAAGACGAUCAGAUACCGUCGUAGUCUCAACUAUAAACUAUGCCAACUAGGGAUGGGGCAAUGUUUAAUUACGACUUGCUCCGCACCUUAUGAGAAAUCAAAGUAUUUGGGUUCCGGGGGGAGUAUGGUCGCAAGGCUGAAACUUAAAGGAAUUGACGGGAGGGCACCACCAGGAGUGGAGCCUGUGGCUUAAUUUGACUCAACACGGGAAAACUUACCAGGUCCGGACAUAACGAGGAUUGACAGAUUGAUAGCUCUUUCUUGAUUUUAUGGGUGGUGGUGCAUGGCCGUUCUUAGUUGGUGGAGUGAUUUGUCUGGUUAAUUCCGUUAACGAACGAGACCCCAGCCUGCUAAAUAGCUUGCUUUAACUUUGUUAAACGUCAGCUUCUUAGAGGGACUAUUCUGUGUAUAACGAAUGGAAGUUUGGGGCAAUAACAGGUCUGUGAUGCCCUUAGAUGUUCUGGGCCGCACACGGGCUACACUGCGAGAUUCAGCAAGCUUCAUAACCUGGUUCGAUAGGAUCGGGAAAUCUUU